CAGAGAUAACCACUGUGGUACAAUCUGUUCUGAUCUUUUUAAAAGAACAAAUAAAUGCACAUACCACAGAAUAGUAACUAUACCACAUGCAGAGUCUUUAGGUCAGUCUUUUUCAUCUAGCAAACAGUCUUUAAGCCCUUAGCUUUUCUUUGAAGGCAUCAUUUUACAUGUUGAAUAAAGUUCAGUUUCAUUAAAUAAUGAGCUAACAUAUCAUGCUUAUUAACAACAUGAUAAUUCAAUCACUAUGAGAUAAUCACGCCAACAUUAUCCAAAGAAACAAGUCAAUCUUUGAGUGGCAGAGACGCUGUAAGUAGCUAUUCCUCCACGCAGACAGUCUGCCAGACACAGCAAAGCAUUCCUUUGAGCAAUGGGCCACCGUUGUAGCGGCAAAGCCCAUGACCUACAUAGCACGGGCUGUGUUGAAAGCCAGGAUCUCUCACAUGGAUUCCUUCCACUGUAUUCCUGUUUUGCUAUCUUUUUUCUCAGGGCAAGAGGGCUUUACUAGUGUGGUAGCUUCCCCAACUGUUGGAACUUCUGGCGAGGAGAAAGCCAGAUACAUAGCUGUGUUGAGAAAAUGUAAUCUGAAGAAAAGUGGGUAAAAAGAAAAAGAAGUGAAACAGAACUGGUGAUAUUAACUUACUGAUAGUCCUUACAACAAGCAGCAGGACUAUGUUUCAACUCCAGGUAAAAAGUAAAAACUUUCCCAAGACCUUUUGGAAAAAGUACUGAAGCUUGAGCUCCAAAUGUAAGACUAACUUAAAUGUUAAUAUUGCUUUUUUUUCUUUGUUAGUUUAGCUAGAGGUUUGCUUAUUUUGUUUAUCUUUUCAAAAAAAACCUCAUAAAUUUUAUUGAUCUUUUAUACCCAUUUUUUAAAAUUUCAAUUUCAUCCAUUUCUGCUCUGAUCCUGCCUUCUGAUAAUUUGGGGUUUGAUUUGUCUUGCUUUUCUGAGUCAUUGAGAUGUAUUGUUAGAUUAUUUGAAAAACUUCCAUUGUUUUAAUGUAUAUACUUAAUGCUAUAAACUUCCCUCUUAAUACUGCUUUUGCUGUAUCCCACAUAUUUUGGUAUGUUUUGUUUUCAUUUGCUUCAAGAAACUUUUUUUUGCUUUUUUAUUUUUUUUAUUUAAGGUAUACAAAGUAAAUACAAAUUCAGGAACACAGUGAUUCUUCCUAACAUGCCUUCCCCCGACCCGUCUACCUCCUCCCUCUCCUGUUCUCAUUCUUAUUUUUUUACUAAGAUUUAUUUUCGAUUAACUUUAUACACAUAAGAUCCUACACUAAGUAAAGAGUCUGAAAAAUAGUAUGAAAUAAGUAGUAUCAAAAAAACUGUUGCUCAAUAGUAGAGACAGGGCUGUUCAAAGUCAUCACAUUUCAAAGUGUCAAUUUAACUUCCAUAGAUUACCUUUUAGGUACUUUAUUAUUUACCUCAGAUUAGGGAGAACAUAUGGUAAUUGUCUUUUUGGGACUGGCUUAUUUCACUAAGUACAAAUUUUUUGCAUCGAUUUUAUUGCAAAUGAAAAGAUUUCACUUUUUUACCCACUGUGUAGUAUUCCAUGGUGUACAUAUCCCAUAGACUGGAUAAAUAAACUUUUUACUUCAUUUUUAAUUUCUUCA
ensembl:lncRNA